ACUAUUUUGGCAGAUUAGUGCAAUAAAUUUAGAAUUUAAUUAUGUAAUUAAAAUUACAAAUAGUA
rnacentral:tRNA from 1 species